rnacentral:misc_RNA from 1 species
UAUGUCCUGAACCAAAAAGGAGCCUCGAUACCCCACCAUAUAUACUUCUAAAUUCACGUGUACCAAGCCUAGCUGUUACAUUUGAUGGGGCAUCGAGGCUCCUUUUUGGUUCAGGACAUAAAUGUGGGUGUAAGAGAGAGAGAGGAGGAAGAGUGGUUAUGGGAGCUGGGCACUGGCGAUGCUGGUGCUUCAGGUACUGAACAACAAGAGCAUCAAGAGAUAAUCGCUCUGAGUUGCUUGGUUGGUGAUCAUUUGGAAGCCCGAGCUGGGUAGAGUUACCAUAUUGGUUGUCAUCUCCAUAAUCUACAAAACUGCUUGAUGUUGAUCGACCAUGUGAAUCCCUCAAAUUAGAACUAGGAGUUAAAAACCCAGCAGCAUCGCCAAACAAACUGCUCUUACGCAAAGCAUUGGGAGUCAAACAAACAGGAGACCGAAGUCCAU